CACUCAUAGAUCAAUCAAAGUCAGUCUAGUGUGGAGUUUCUAACUAAAAUUCCUACCUAGAGAAGAAAACAUGCUUUCUUCUUUGCUUUGGAUAGAGUGAUUCUAAGUGGAAGUGGUAGGACAAUGACUGGGUAGAUGAUAAAAUAUCAAGAUUUAGCUCCAUAAUUAACUGUCUGUAUGAUGCUAAGCAAUUCAUGUCAUGAAUCCGAGAUAUGAUUAUAUAAUUUGUAAGGUAAGAGAAUUGGAUUAAAUGAUUUCCAAUGUUUGUCUUUCAGCUCUAGGAGUCUAUGGCUUCUUGAAGAAGGAAGAUGAGAUUAAAAGCAAUACCAAUUGCUUCCAAGAUGAAAGAAAACACAGCUGAGAACCAGGAUGGAAGCCAAAAAAGAUCUCUGAGCUGCCAAAACAGGAAUGAAGAAACAGACAUUCAGAGAACGGGGGGCAACUUACCCAAAGAAGCAGAGCCGAUGGGACUGAAGCCUUGUAACUCUAAAUUCAAGGCUCAUUCCAUGAUACCACAACUGAUUUCAAGAGGCAGAAAUGGCAGCAGGGGCUGGAGGAAGUUCCAGAAGAAGGGAAAAUCACAAGAAAAGGCCUUAAUGAGAAGGAAUGUUUGAAGAUCCAAGGAAAAAAGUUUUGUCUUUUUAGAAUCUUAGCAGUAGACAGAAAGCAAACAAGAACAAAUUUGACCUUCAGAAGCCUGUGUCUUCUGGCUGAACCAAGAAGAGCAUGCCACUCCAGUCUGGGCUGAACAAGCUCCUCUUUCCUCCAACACCUGGCAGCAAGUCCCCACCCAGCAGGAAGGAAGUGCUAGUCACAAGACCCAACUGCCACUCCCAGUUGCCCCUUCCCCCACUAACUGUCAGUCUUGUUUCCUUUCCACACCCCUUUUGCUGCUCCUUUCCUUCAUUCCUCUCCUUGUAGGGGACUCUGUACCCAUCUCCUUGCAUCAGACUCCUCCACCUUGUUGCUCCUCUUCCUCAUAUUUCACCUCACCUUCCCUUUCCUCCAAUAAAGUCUUGCAAUACCAC
rnacentral:lncRNA from 1 species